AGUGAACGCUGGCGGUAGGCCUAACACAUGCAAGUCGAACGGCAGCACAGUAAGAGCUUGCUCUUACGGGUGGCGAGUGGCGGACGGGUGAGGAAUACAUCGGAAUCUACUUUUUCGUGGGGGAUAACGUAGGGAAACUUACGCUAAUACCGCAUACGACCUACGGGUGAAAGCAGGGGAUCUUCGGACCUUGCGCGAUUGAAUGAGCCGAUGUCGGAUUAGCUAGUUGGCGGGGUAAGGGCCCACCAAGGCGACGAUCCGUAGCUGGUCUGAGAGGAUGAUCAGCCACACUGGAACUGAGACACGGUCCAGACUCCUACGGGAGGCAGCAGUGGGGAAUAUUGGACAAUGGGCGCAAGCCUGAUCCAGCCAUACUGCGUGGGUGAAGAAGGCCUUCGGGUUGUAAAGCCCUUUUGUUGGGAAAGAAAAGCAGCAGGUUAAUACCCCGCUGUUCUGACGGUACCCAAAGAAUAAGCACCGGCUAACUUCGUG
rnacentral:rRNA from 1 species